UCUAAAUUUUUGGGAAUUUCGGCAUCGUAACCUGUUAUGAAAAAAUGUCCUUAUUGGUCAAAAGGCUAAGGGCUUUCUGUUGGAACCCAAUUUAUUAUAGCAUUGACAAAAUGGAUGAAUUGCUGUUGCUAGUAGUCCCAUAACAUAUAAAGUCCAUGGAAGACCAUCUCUACAUUGUUGAAUCUUUUUACCCCCUUCACCCGAUUUCAAGUGGGAGAUUGCUCUAGACUUCUUUU
rnacentral:lncRNA from 1 species